UACGUAGGGGGCUAGCGUUGUCCGGAAUCAUUGGGCGUAAAGAGCGUGUAGGCGGCUCGGUAAGUCCGCUGUGAAAGUCCAGGGCUCAACCCUGGAAUGCCAGUGGAAACUGUCGAGCUAGAGUCCGGAAGAGGCGAGUGGAAUUCCUGGUGUAGCGGUGAAAUGCGCAGAUACCAGGAGGAACACCAAUGGCGAAGGCAGCUCGCUGGGACGGUACUGACGCUGAGACGCGAAAGCGUGGGGAGCAAACAGG
rnacentral:rRNA from 1 species